UCCGUAGGCGGGCAAUUAAGUCGGAGGUGAAAUCCCACAGCUCAACUGUGGAACUGCCUUUGAUACUGGUUGUCUUGAGUUACAGUGAAGUAGAUAGAAUAUGUAGUGUAGCGGUGAAAUGCAUAGAUAUUACAUAGAAUACCGAUUGCGAAGGCAGUCUACUAACUGUAUACUGACGCUAAUGGACGAAAGCGUGGGGAGCGAACAGGAUUAGAUACCCUGGAGUCC
rnacentral:rRNA from 1 species